UUCACCAGCCAGGAGGCAGAACUUGGCCUCCCUUAAUCCUGAAUAGGCAUGCAGGGUUAUAUGCUAGACACAAAGGAAGCCACAGCCAGCAGAAGGCGAGCCGACAAGAACAAGGAAAUGGUUCUGCCGUCACAUCCCCUGGAAUCUCUGUGCCUUGGUGUCUCCGUUGGUAAAGACAGGAUGUCCUAGAUCUCCAAGGUUUCUUGAAAAACUAAAACCCAUUAUUGUUUAAUGCCUUCUAGAAGUUGCCUAGGAAACACUUCUUCUUAGAAAAGAUUCACAAACAGACCUGGAAUGAAUCCUUCUCGCUCUUCAUACACUGAGACAGGAUGAAAUCUAAGACCAUGGCAGGGAGAAGCCGCACGCGGAGUCGCACUGUCAGGAUCCAGGAUCGAUCUUAAUCAGAUUGCAAGUUCUUCAGGCUUGGAACCAUAUCACCACAAUGAACAGCCAAGUGUAAAGGGUCCCCGGGGAAACUCCGACCGGCUUGCGCCCUGGGAGAAUGGGGUGGAGCCACGGAAGUUCACGCGCUUUGCAGAGGGGAGGAGCCUGGCCUCUCCUGAUCCUGGAUAGUACCUGAGAUUCAAUCGCUGAGGCGGGAAAACCGGCUAGCAGGACUGUUGCUUUGCUGAGAGUCCCUGUUUCCCUUUUUUUCCUCUUGGCCCAAUAAAUUCCAUUUUUCUCACCCUUCAAAA